GCAAGGUCCACUUAAAAGAAGCUCCAUCAUUCAGACAAAACCUCUGUGAGAACUAGAGCACAAUAAUAGGGUGGAAAGUAUUUGGUUGUUAUUAACAAACAAACCUUUUAAAACAAAGCAAAAAAAAAAAAAAAAUCUGUGUAAACAGAACAUUGCUUAAAAAAAAAAAAAAAAAAACUUUUCUGUAACCAUAGCCAUAUCAGUAUGCUAUUGACUUUGACCUUAUUGCUUCAGUUCUUAUGCAAAUUUAGGCCCGAGGAAGAAGUGUAAAAUAAUAACUAUGAUGAAUAAAAAAUGAAUUACAUAAAGAUGGAGGCUAAGAAGGCUAAGAGGAGAAGAAGACGAAAUCAAGUGUGAUAAAAACACACGUAGAUGGAGAUCUGAGAUGCCCCAGCCGUGCAUGGAGGAGUGAGCCUGCCAGCCCAGCACCACCAGCGCCAGCCCAGCCUGUGGAGCCUCAUGGGGCUGCUGGCCAUGGGCAUGUGGAGUGGGAAAUGCAGACCACAGGGAGGAUCCUGCAAGCCUACUUCUGCCUACCAGCCUAAUCAGAACCAGAGUGCUUCAGUGAUCUGCAAGCUAAACCUUGACUGAAAUGCAGCCUGAAAACCCCAGCACCACCUGGACGAACAGUAAAAUGCACCUACAGAGCCCAGCUGGUUCCAGUUCUGCAGCAGAAUUCCUGUGAGGCCUUUGGCAAAAGACUUGAGCUUCUCCAGCUCAAACUGCAGUCCCUUCAACAUAUCCACCACUACAACAGUGCCACUGUGCCCGCGAG